rnacentral:rRNA from 1 species
ACAGGGAUUGCCCUAGUACGGCGAGUGAAGCGGCAACAGCUCAAAUUUGAAAUCUGGCGUCUUUGGCGUCCGAGUUGUAAUUUGCAGAGGGCGCUUUGGCAUCGGCAGCGGUCCAAGUUCCUUGGAACAGGACGUCACAGAGGGUGAGAAUCCCGUACGUGGUCGCUAGCCUUUACCGUGUAAAGCCCCUUCGACGAGUCGAGUUGUUUGGGAAUGCAGCUCUAAAUGGGAGGUAAAUUUCUUCUAAAGCUAAAUACUGGCCAGAGACCGAUAGCGCACAAGUAGAGUGAUCGAAAGAUGAAAAGCACUUUGGAAAGAGAGUUAAAAAGCACGUGAAAUUGUUGAAAGGGAAGCGCUUGCAGCCAGACUUGCCUGUAGUUGCUCAUCCGGGUUUUUACCCGGUGCACUCUUCUAUAGGCAGGCCAGCAUCAGUUUGGGCGGUUGGAUAAAGAUCUCUGUCACGUACCUCCUCUCGGGGAGAACUUAUAGGGGAGAUGACAUGCAACCAGCCUGGACUGAGGUCCGCGCAUCUGCUAGGAUGCUGGCGUAAUGGCUGUAAGCGGCCCGUCUUGAAACACGGACCAAGGAGUCUAACAUCUAUGCGAGUGUUUGGGUGUCAAGCCCGAACGCGUAAUGAAAGUGAACGGAGGUGGGAGCCUUUCGGGGUGCACCAUCGACCGAUCCUGAUGUCUUCGGAUGGAUUUGAGUAAGAGCAUAGCUGUUGGGACCCGAAAGAUGGUGAACUAUGCUUGAAUAGGGUGAAGCCAGAGGAAACUCUGGUGGAGGCUCGCAGCGGUUCUGACGUGCAAAUCGAUCGUCAAAUUUGGGCAUAGGGGCGAAAGACUAAUCGAACUAUCUAGUAGCUGGUUCCUGCCGAAGUUUCCCUCAGGAUAGCAGUAACGUUUUCAGUUUUAUGAGGUAAAGCGAAUGAUUAGAGGCCUGGGGGUUGAAACAACCUU